UCUGGCCUCAAAUCAGGUAGGACUACCCGCUGAACUUAAGCAUAUCAAUAAGCGGGA
rnacentral:rRNA from 1 species